UACGGAGGAUCCAAGCGUUAUCCGGAAUCAUUGGGUUUAAAGGGUCCGUAGGCGGCCUAAUAAGUCAGUGGUGAAAGCCCAUCGCUCAACGAUGGAACGGCCAUUGAUACUGUUAGACUUGAAUUAUUGGGAAGUAACUAGAAUAUGUAGUGUAGCGGUGAAAUGCUUAGAUAUUACAUGGAAUACCAAUUGCGAAGGCAGGUUACUAUCAAUAUAUUGACGCUGAUGGACGAAAGCGUGGGGAGCGAACAGG
rnacentral:rRNA from 1 species